CACCGCCUAGCGCACCAGCGGCGCCGUAGCCCGUGCACCUGACGGAUACCGCUGCCGUUGGCGGGUCUCCUGACCGGCGAUGCUUUUGGAUCGAAACGGAUGGAGGAAGAAGAAGACACCGUUUUGUGAUGAAGCCCCUGAUGAUCCUGUAAAUCUUUGUCUUUUUUUUCUUGUGUCUUGCAGCUUUACAGAAAAGUCCUCAAUCUCUUCGAUUUCUUUCAAUCUAAUCCAAGCCGUGAUUCUUUUGCAGAUCUAACCCUGAGGUUUCACCUUUUCACGAGCUCUGUUCUCGGACUCUAAGGUAUCUUCCUUGCUAGCC
rnacentral:lncRNA from 1 species